rnacentral:rRNA from 1 species
GAGAGGAGCUGUCCUUAGUACGAGAGGACCGGGAUGGACACACCGCUGGUGUACCAGUUGUUCCGCCAGGAGCAUCGCUGGGUAGCUAUGUGUGGCAGGGAUAAACGCUGAAAGCAUCUAAGCGUGAAGCCCCCCUCAAGAUGAGAUUUCCCAUUUCUUCGGAAAGUAAGAUCCCUGAAAGAUGAUCAGGUAGAUAGGUUUGGAGUGGAAGUGUAGCGAUACAUGGAGCGGACAAAUACUAAUCGAUCGAGGACUUAACCAAAAA